GGUGAACGCUGGCGGCGUGCCUAAUACAUGCAAGUCGAGCGAAUGGAUUAAGAGCUUGCUCUUAUGAAGUUAGCGGCGGACGGGUGAGUAACACGUGGGUAACCUGCCCAUAAGACUGGGAUAACUCCGGGAAACCGGGGCUAAUACCGGAUAACAUUUUGAACCGCAUGGUUCGAAAUUGAAAGGCGGCUUCGGCUGUCACUUAUGGAUGGACCCGAGUCGCAUUAGCUAGUUGGGGAGGUAACGGCUCACCAAGGCAACGAUGCGUAGCCGACCUGAGAGGGUGAUCGGCCACACUGGGACUGAGACACGGCCCAGACUCCUACGGGAGGCAGCAGUAGGGAAUCUUCCGCAAUGGACGAAAGUCUGACGGAGCAACGCCGCGUGAGUGAUGAAGGCUUUCGGGUCGUAAAACUCUGUUGUUAGGGAAGAACAAGUGCUAGUUGAAUAAGCUGGCACCUUGACGGUACCUAACCAGAAAGCCACGGCUAACUACGUGCCAGCCGCCGCCGUAA
rnacentral:rRNA from 1 species